GUCCUCACUUGUGUCUUUAGGAUGUAUAAUCAAAAAUUAUACCAACUACCAGUCAACAGAAAGCCAAGCUCCUACAAACACGUGGAAGAUCACUCUGUGGACUAUAUGAAGAGGCUGGGAAGGAAGAAAUUAUUCCAGUUAGAGGAGAGAUGAUGAGGACCUGGAAUAAUGCAGUGGUGAUGAAAUGAAGAGUCCAUUAGCUCAUUUCUUCAUCAAAUAUUAAUUCAUUGCGUUGUACCAGACUGUGGGAUGCAAGGGCAAACAAAUCAGACAAGUUCCUAUGUUCAAGGAAUUUAUAUACAGGUGAACGAGAUGUGUACUUGAAUCAUCAUACUAAUAAAUAUGAGAUU
rnacentral:lncRNA from 1 species